GAUGAACGCUGGCGGCGUGCCUAAUACAUGCAAGUCGAGCGAACAGACGAGGAGCUUGCUCCUCUGACGUUAGCGGCGGACGGGUGAGUAACACGUGGAUAACCUACCUAUAAGACUGGGAUAACUUCGGGAAACCGGAGCUAAUACCGGAUAAUAUAUUGAACCGCAUGGUUCAAUAGUGAAAGACGGUUUUGCUGUCACUUAUAGAUGGAUCCGCGCCGCAUUAGCUAGUUGGUAAGGUAACGGCUUACCAAGGCGACGAUGCGUAGCCGACCUGAGAGGGUGAUCGGCCACACUGGAACUGAGACACGGUCCAGACUCCUACGGGAGGCAGCAGUAGGGAAUCUUCCGCAAUGGGCGAAAGCCUGAAAGAGCAACGCCGCGUGAGUGAUGAAGGUCUUCGGAUCGUAAAACUCUGUUAUUAGGGAAGAACAAAUGUGUAAGUAACUAUGCACGUCUUGACGGUACCUAAUCAGAAAGCCACGGCUAACUACGUG
rnacentral:rRNA from 1 species